rnacentral:miRNA from 1 species
GACUCUGGGGUAUUUCUGAUG